AUUGAACGCUGGCGGCAUGCCUUACACAUGCGAGUCGAACGGCAGCACGGGUGCUUGCCCCUGGUGGCGAGUGGCGAACGGGUGAGUAAUACAUCGGAACAUGUCCUGUAGUGGGGGAUAGCCCGGCGAAAGCCGGAUUAAUACCGCAUACGAUCUACGGAUGAAAGCGGGGGACCUUCGGGCCUCGCGCUAUAGGGUUGGCCGAUGGCUGAUUAGCUAGUUGGUGGGGUAAAGGCCUACCAAGGCGACGAUCAGUAGCUGGUCUGAGAGGACGACCAGCCACACUGGGACUGAGACACGGCCCAGACUCCUACGGGAGGCAGCAGCGGGGAAUUUUGGACAAUGGGCGAAAGCCUGAUCCAGCAAUGCCGCGUGUGUGAAGAAGGCCUUCGGGUUGUAAAGCACUUUUGUCCGGAAAGAAAUCCUUGGCCCUAAUACGGUCGGGGGAUGACGGUACCGGAAGAAUAAGCACCGGCUAACUACGUG
rnacentral:rRNA from 1 species